UAGAGGCUGUCAUUGAACUAGCUCUCUUAGACCAAGCUGGCCUCGAACACACAGAGAUCUGCCUGCCUCUGCCUCCCGAGUGCUGGGAUUAAAGGAGUGCACCACCACCACCCAGCAUAGAAAUUGUUUCUCAAUUGACUCUGAAGGGAAAAUUGAGACUUCACCAAUUAGCAGGAAUAGACCGAGAAGACAUUGUACUACUUUUUGCUAAUGCUGAAAUUGCCUCAUAUGGCAGCGAAUACUGGCAAAGAGCUUGCAGUAAUUGUGACAGAGAGAUUAGCAACAAAUAUCCCAAAAGCAAGAGAUUUCAAUUUUUAAAAAGAGCUAAUUGGAUUCUCUCUCAUAUAAUAAAGGGAACACCAAAUUCUGGAGCCCCUACACUCUAUACUGAUGCAAAUAAAUCAGGAAAGACAGGCUAUAAGUCAGGAAAAAUAAGCAAAAUGGCUCAAAGCCCUUAUGAUUCAAUUCAAAAAUCAGAAUCUGUUAUUUUCAUGGUAUUAUUAGAUUUUCCAGGAUCUCUGGCACAAGGUAAUGAUGAAAUUGACCAAAUAUAAUAGGAAAUGUUCUAAAAAGUCUCAGAGUUUUAUAAGAUCAUGUUAAUAGCAAAAGUUUGAAGAAAGAUUUUUCCAUCACUAGGUAAUAAGCCAAGAAAAUUAUAAGGAAAUGUCUUACUUGUUCUUUGUAUAAACAAAUUCCAUUACCUUCAGGAAGUAACCCAAAGGGUAUUUAUCCAAAGAAAUAGAAUUUGACAAAUGGAUGUGUUUCAUUUUGCUGAGUUUGGGAAACUAAAGUAUGUGUACCAUGCCAUAGAUACAUAUUCAGGAUUUCAAUAGGCAACUGCAUUAAGUUCUGAAAAGGCUCAUUCUGUAAUUACACAUUUAUUAGAAAUCAUGGCCAUGAUGAGAAUACCUAUACGAACUAAAAAUGACAGUGCUCCAGCAUAUGUCUCUAGUAAAACGAAAAAAUAUGCAUUUUUGCAUAUUACACCAUAAAGCAUAUUACAGGUAUACCACACAAUCCUACAGCACAAGCAGUUUGUAGUAAGAUAUCCACACCACUCACACCUUUAGCACUGACCAUGCCCUUUCGGGUGUGGUCACAGGUGUGAAAGUGACAGAAGGCAGGACUAGAUCUGGGGUCCCCAAACCCAGGGGUCUCUCUCUUGCUUCUGGUCAGGUCACAGAGAGCAGCCUGGGUGGAUCCUUGGAGCUGGAACCUGUUGUGGUCACCAGCUUCUUGUGUAAGUCCAUUCUCCCCACUUAACCUAUAUUGAGUCUAGUGAACCCUGAUCCCCACACAAUAGCAGUUAUAGUAAGUUACAGAAAGAUCUAAUCACACUUUAAAAGAUAUGUUUAAUAAAUAGAAAGGGGUAAUAUAAACCCCCAUAGCUAGAUUACACGAUGCUUUAUUAACUUCAAAUAUUUAAGUGCUAAUGACCAAGGAACUACAGCUUCAGAGAGAUAUUGGAUAGUAGAAAAAACUGCUAAUUAAAUCAGCCCAUGUAUUUUAAAGACAUGUUGAUUUCAGAAUGGAAGUCAGAAUAUGUGUUGCAUUAGGGAAGGUGUUUUGCUUUUGUUUCCACAAGAGAAGAAAAGCUAUGAAUACCAUCAAGAUUGAUAAAGAUUAGAUUAGAACAGGAGAGACCUGGUUAUUAGGAGAGGUGACAGUUCAUCAAACAGUUUUGUAGUCUUGCCUGUGAACCUGUAAAAGUGGCCACACUCCUUUGGGCAUGGCUUCAGGGAAAGAAAGAACCUCUCUCUCUCUCUCUCUCUCUCUCUCUCUCUCUCUCUCUCUCUCUCUCUCUCUCACACACACACACACACACACACACACACAGUCUCUUUAAUCUUGGGUUACAGAUUCGAUUGGAAGGGCAGAAAAAUGCUGUGAUGGUACCUUAUUGUUCUGUGUAAAUUUUUCCCCCAAUAAAGACCCAUUUAUCAUUUAUCUUGGGUCUAGUGAAUUAAUUAACCCUUGCCUUCACAGCUUGGUCAUUCAAUUAAAAGUAACUUAUUAAGACUAACAAAUGCCUUUCAUUUGAUCAGGUAUGAAUUUUUUUUUAAAAAUGUCUAAAAAUACCACAAGAUAUUAUGUAAACACAAAAAAAUCUAAAAAAUAAUACGUUUUCUGUUGCCAAAAAGCCAUUUUGCCUUAGCAAAGAUAAAACAUGCCAAAAAAGGAAGUCCCCAAAGUUAGGGUUGGGGCAGGGUUUUGUUUUUGUCUUCUUAGGAGAAUAAAAGGCAUCCAACUAAGGCUAUGGAGACAUCUGAAGAAGGACAAAUCAUCAAGAGAAAAAGUCCCACGACAAAGAGCAAAUUGGCUUACUGGUUUAGUCCACCUCCAACUGAGGAGAACUUCAUAAAUCUGCCCAAAUGCUGUUUUUUUUCUGCUCUUUGCAAAAGCAAGAGGCAAAUGGUCUUUUUUUUUUCAGUCCCAAUUCGAUUGAAAAAUCAAAGCUGACUUUGGAGUUAGAGGAUGUCUCUCUCCUCCUCUAAACCCAAGCAUGCUUGUUGAAGGAAAAUCCAAAAUCUCUGUUUUGUGUCAGAAGAGCCACCUGGUAUGGGACAGAAGAAAACCAAAACUAAAGAACUAUUCUAUUGCUGUUAAUCCAAUUAUCUUUGGUUUUGACUUUUUAAAACAUUUCUUAAGAUAUAAGUAUUAUCUCAAAAUCUGUAAGAUCGUUAAAUAUAUUUAAACUUUCUGUCAGGAUAUUAGCAGUCAUACAGAGCUAUAACUAACUUUAGAAACAAACUCCAUCUAGCUUCCUGUGCAUGCUUUCAGGUUUGAGUUCUGAAGCAGGUGAUUAGGAACUAAGUUUGUGUAACCAAGAGGUACUUAAUAGAGUGUGGUCCUCUAACCUUCUGGAGAUCUGCUGUACAUGGCAUUUAAAAUGUUUAAGUUUUCUUUCAAUGAACCAUGACCAUUCCUAACAGUGACCUUUGAGGUCUCCAAAAAAAUGAUGGGACCCUGCAAUGACAGAUCCACCUAGACAGUGGUAAUGCCGUUGAACUGACAAACUCGACCCAAAGAUCAGUUUCAGAUGGCAAACUGCUCAGGACAACUUCAAAGCUGCUUGCUGAGAUGGUCCAGCUUCACAGACUACUCCAGCCAAGACUUCAUAUACUCUCUGCCCAUUCCAAUCACACAGAGACUGGACAACAAAUGAUACAGCUAGCUCUUGCAGAACUUGAUCUUUAUUCCAGUUUUCUCAGGGUCCCCUAAAGAUGCCAUCACCCCCAGAUAAUAGGAAGUAAUUUUAAGAACAUGAUGCCUACAUUCCCAAGAGGUGGGGUAGGCGGUUUUUGGUCAUUUAGUGAGUUAUGGAUGUUUUUCAUUGUUUAUGGGGGUAGGUAAGUUGCAAGUUAUUUUUGGUUGUGGUCAUGGAGGAAACUAAACAAAGGAGGCUGGAUUAAGGGAUUUCUGGGUUUUUUUUUUCUUUCUCUAUUCUUUUUUAUCUUCUACCUAGUGUUAAAAAUGGGGCUGAGGAAUGAAAAUAAACAGAAUGGGCAUAUAGGAAUGAUAGGAUAAAAGGUGAGAUUAAUGAAUCUACUAAAAAGCAACUAUUAGUCUCAAUUAUUUUACAUUGGUAUGGAUUUUUGUAUAUUGAUAUAAGUUUAAGGUUUUGCUUGUUAUAACAUACUGUAUAUAUGUUUCUCCCCUUGUUUAAGGCAUUAUACCUAUUCAGCUCAUUUAAAAUGUAAUGUAAAUUUCUGGUAUUUGAAAGAUAUUAUUACAAACUAUUUAGGAUAACUAAGAAAUGCAGGUUAGUAGUCAUCUAUAACAAUCAAACUUGUAGUCAUGUUAGGUAUGUUUUCAAGGCUAAACAUAUAUAGUUUUGAUAGAUAGGUGGUCAUCAAAUACUUCAGAGAUUUACAGAAUAAGGAAUUUAAAUGAUUUAAUAACAUAAUGUUUUUCAUGACAAUGAGCAAUUGGUUCUCCUGGCAGAACCAAUCUACUUCAGAGAAGAUGAUGGGCACUGAAGAACCUCCAUAUAGAGUUUGCAUUCAAUGUACCAAGGAAGCCACUGGACAAGAAAAUGCCCUUGACACAACUGCUGACAAUAUGCUGUCCAAAUUUGGUGAGUUGGACACAAAGGAAGUUGACUUCCAAACUUUGCCAAGACAAGAUGGGCCAGUCCUUCAAAAUUCCCGCUUCACAGAAAAGUCUGUCAGGUAUUCUAGGCCUGUAGGCUGAAGAUGGAUACUCCAACAUUGCAGAGGACACUUUGGUAAUCAUCCAGACAGUCAGAUAACUCUGUCAUUUCUAUUGCUUUGGAAGUGGCUGGCUCUGUAUUUCCUGUUUACUCAGAAUUGGAGCUUUCACACUGAUGCCUUUUGGUUGGGAAGAAACAACAUUCUGACCACCAGGGGGUUCCAUCCCCAUAAACAGGACACACAUCUCUUCUGUGGACGUAUCUGUAAGAAACCAAAGCCAUGUUUGCAGGCAGGACAUGGGACUGAUACUUGCAAAUUCAGCCUCAGCACUCACCAUCCUAGAAAUGCACAACGACCGUGUAUCUAGGAAGCAGUGGGCAGUGGAAAUGGGUUUUCUCAGAUUUGAAACCUGGUCUUUGACUGUCUGUGAGGACCCUGGCUUUCCCUGUCCCCUUUCCUAGUAUCUGGGGAUAUUAACACUAUGUACUUUACAGGCUGCUGAGAGGAUAAAGGAUUAGGACUGGGUGUGGCUCAGGGGCAGAGUGUGAGCUCAGCAUGCUUGAGGCCUGGACUCCAUCCCCAGUAACGUGGGGAAAUAAGUAACAGACAAAGUAUGGAGUUCAUUAACUUACUUGAUGCUUAUUAAAUGUUACUUUGUUCUUCAUCAAUGUCAGUUACUAUGUUUCUUUCAGUCAGUGAUUUGAAUGCAAAAGAAAAAGCCAUUAAUUAAAUGUAUUUGAUUCUGGAAUUUUGCCUAGGAUCUCACCUGCCUAGGAAGUGGUUUCUUCUCCCAGGUGGCAUCCUUUAUAACACACUUAGCGUGAUGAGUUAGUUCUCAAUGUGCCUCAGAUCAAUGAGAUUCUGGCACUUUACUGCACACCAGCCCUGAUCUUUUCAUUGAGUUUAGAUUCAGCUGAAAUGCAGCAACAUAGUGAGAGAACCAGAAGCCUGUCCCAUAGAAUAUGUAAGAGCCAGGGAUGCAGCCACAAAGACCCAAGGAUGGCUAAGAUCCUGAAAUCUGAGCAUUGAUUCUAAGAAGUAGAACAGCAAUUGACAGAUCUGUUCACAAAGACAUAGCUCUAUCUUAGGAUAUAAUAAUGUUUAUGUAACUGAACGUUGAAAUAAGAGAUUGCGCACACACACACACACACACACACACACACACACACACACACACACACUGCCUGGAAUUCCAGUGUCCAGGUUCCCAAUGUAAAGACCUUUUCCAAACCUGGCUAUGGUGAGACAUACCUAUAAUGCCAGCACUUGGUAAGCUGCAGCGGGAGGGUCACCAGUUUGGGGACAGCUGAAGCUAUCUAGCCAGACUAUGUUAGACUGAUAAAUCUGUAAGCCUUUGUCUGCCACAUGUGAGCACACCCUUGGGAUCAUUAGGUCACCUUUAGCACUGAUCCACAUGACUCCAAUACUAUGGUGAACUCACUGGUCCCUUUUAGUAACGAAUAUUUCACAAGUGGCUCUGUACGAAGACAAAUGGGAAGUUGCUGACUCCAACCAUGAGGAGAGUUAGGUGGGAGUGGUGGGUCCCAGACCCAUUGCCAUAACUUUUACUGACAUUAUGAUCUCACCUUUAGGCUGGGAACCACCACCCUUUAGUGUGCUUCUUAAAUCAGAGACCUAUGUCUGGGGAUGUGGUUCAUUUGGGAGAGUUCUUGUCUUUCAAGCACGAGGUCCUGGGUUCAAUUCUCUGUGCUACUGAAAUCUGUUUGCCUAUAACUUAGUACUGGGGGGGUAGUGGUAGGAGGAUAAGGAGGAACAUCCUGGGUUAUGUGAGCCAGCCUGGGUCAUACAAGGUACUCUUCUGGUAUAAUGGAAAAAAUAAGUAGUUUCAAUAAAGAACUUUUCCAUGCCUUAA